UACGUAGGCAGCGAGCGUUGUUCGGAGUUACUGGGCGUAAAGAGUGCGUAGGCGGUUUUCUAAGUUUGGUGUGAAAUCUCCCGGCUCAACUGGGAGGGUGCGCCGAAGACUGGAAGGCUUGAGUAUGGGAGAGGUAAGCGGAAUUCCUGGUGUAGCGGUGAAAUGCGUAGAUAUCAUGAGGAACACCAGAGGCGAAGGCGACUUCCUGGACAAUUGCUGACGCUCAGGCACGAAAGCAUGGGGAGCAAAAGGG
rnacentral:rRNA from 1 species